rnacentral:rRNA from 1 species
UACGUAGGGUGCAAGCGUUAAUCGGAAUUACUGGGCGUAAAGCGUGCGCAGGCGGUUUUGUAAGUCUGACGUGAAAUCCCCGGGCUCAACCUGGGAAUUGCGUUGGAGACUGCAAGGCUAGAAUCUGGCAGAGGGGGGGUAGAAUUCCGACGUGUGAGCAGUGAAAUGCGUAGAGAUGUGGAGGAACACCGAUGGCGAAGGCAGCCCCCUGGGUCAAGAUUGACGCUCAUGCACGAAAGC